UACGUAGGUGACAAGCGUUGUCCGGAUUUACUGGGCGUAAAGCGCGCGCAGGCGGUCGUUCAAGUCGAGUGUGAAAGCCCCCGGCUCAACUGGGGAGGGUCAUUCGAUACUGAUCGACUCGAAGGCAGGAGAGGGAAGUGGAAUUCCCGGUGUAGUGGUGAAAUGCGUAGAUAUCGGGAGGAACACCAGUGGCGAAGGCGACUUCCUGGCCUGUUCUUGACGCUGAGACGCGAAAGCUAGGGGAGCAAACAGG
rnacentral:rRNA from 1 species